rnacentral:misc_RNA from 1 species
CCGAGUCUUCGUGCUCAACCAACCCUUCUGUGGACCUGAAUAAAACCGUUGCCUCGGCUGGCGGCCCCACCUUGCGGGCCGGACAGCCCGGCCGUCUCUCAGGAGCGGCCGGCGCCAGCCGCUGGCCUCAAACCCAAAAAAAUCUCUAGUAACCUUCUAUCUUCUGAGUUUUAACGCAAGAAAUAAAAGUCA